GACAGAGGUCUCGAGCGUUAGGCGGAAUCACUGGGCUUAAAGCGUGUGUAGGCGGAUGCCUAAGUACUUUGUGAAAUCCCACGGCUUAACCGUGGAACUGCUUGGUAUACUGGGUGUCUUGAGCCAGCUAGGGGCUACCGGAACAAAUGGUGGAGCGGUGAAAUGCGUAGAUAUCAUUUGGAACGCCAAUGGUGAAAACAGGUAGCUGGGGCUGUGCUGACGCUGAGACACGAAAGCCAGGGGAGCGAACGGG
rnacentral:rRNA from 1 species